rnacentral:lncRNA from 1 species
GAGUGGAACUAGUGAGGUGUGUUAGGGUUUGUUGGUUAGAGGUAGCGGCAUCGUGGUCAGGGGUCACACUUGUAGUACGAUAGUUGGGGUCAGAGGUGGUGUGGUGUGGUAUGGAUGUUAUGUUGUUACAUGUUAUUAGCUUGUUACCUUAGUGGAGAGAAGAAGGGUUGGUGAGCAUGUCGUGAGUAUUAUGGUAGUUGUCAUACACAUCCACGAAUAUUUGAUAAAGAGUUUGGUUGGCAAAACACUCAAGAUCAUCCUGUCUAAAUAUUGGAGAGGUACACGUUGGGUCACCCGUGCGGAUGUGGUUAG